CUUGCUUAUCCGCCGGCGACCGGCGCACGGGUGCGCAACGCGUAUAGAAUCUGCCCUGUACUGGGGAAUAGCCCAGAGAAAUUUGGAUUAAUGCCCCAUGGUAUGUAUUAGCGGCAUCGCUUAUACAUUAAAGGCUACGGUACAGGAUGACUAUGCGUCCCAUUAGUUAGUUGGUAAGGUAACGGCUUACCAAGGCAGCGAUGGGUAGGGGCCCUGAGAGGGGGAUCCCCCACACUGGUACUGAGACACGGACCAGACUCCUACGGGAGGCAGCAGUGAGGAAUAUUGGACAAUGGGCGGGAGCCUGAUCCAGCCAUGCCGCGUGCAGGAAGACGGUCCUAUGGAUUGUAAACUGCUUUUGUACGGGAAGAACAAGGGGCACGUGUGCCCCUCUGACGGUACCGUAAGAAUAAGGAUCGGCUAACUCCGUGCCAGCAGCCGCGGUAAUACGGAGGAUCCGAGCGUUAUCCGGAAUCAUUGGGUUUAAAGGGUCCGUAGGCGGGCCAUUAAGUCAGGGGUGAAAGUCUGCGGCUCAACCGUAGAAUUGCCCUUGAUACUGGUGGUCUUGAGUUAU
rnacentral:rRNA from 1 species